UACGUAGGGUGCGAGCGUUAAUCGGAAUUACUGGGCGUAAAGCGUGCGCAGGCGGCGCGUUAAGACAGGUGUGAAAGCCCCGAGCUUAACUUGGGAAUUGCGCUUGUGACUGGCGUGCUGGAGUGUGGCAGAGGGAGGUGGAAUUCCACGUAUAGCAGUGAAAUGCGUAGAGAUGCGGAGGAACACCGAUGGCGAAGGCAGCCCCCUGGGCUAGCACUGACGCUCAUGCACGAAAGCGUGGGGAGCAAACAGG
rnacentral:rRNA from 1 species